AGUGAACGCUGGCGGUAGGCCUAACACAUGCAAGUCGAACGGCAGCACAGGAGAGCUUGCUCUCUGGGUGGCGAGUGGCGGACGGGUGAGGAAUACAUCGGAAUCUACCUUUUCGUGGGGGAUAACGUAGGGAAACUUACGCUAAUACCGCAUACGACCUACGGGUGAAAGUGGGGGACCGCAAGGCCUCACGCGAUUAGAUGAGCCGAUGUCCGAUUAGCUAGUUGGCGGGGUAAUGGCCCACCAAGGCGACGAUCGGUAGCUGGUCUGAGAGGAUGAUCAGCCACACUGGAACUGGGACACGGUCCAGACUCCUACGGGAGGCAGCAGUGGGGAAUAUUGGACAAUGGGCGCAAGCCUGAUCCAGCCAUACCGCGUGGGUGAAGAAGGCCUUCGGGUUGUAAAGCCCUUUUGUUGGGAAAGAAAUCCUGUCGAUUAAUACUCGGUGGGGAUGACGGUACCCAAAGAAUAAGCACCGGCUAACUUCGUGCCAGCAGCCGCCGUAAGAC
rnacentral:rRNA from 1 species